rnacentral:rRNA from 1 species
AUGCUCCGGCUCCGAGAGUACGUCGUUUCCCGUCUCCUCUCUCCUUCCUCCACCUCUGCCAUCUCCCCUCUGCUUCGCCUCCUCUCCGCAUCUGCAUCCGCAGUCCCCAUUUCCCCGAACCCUAUUUACCUUCGCCGUCGAGGAGUACCUCGUCGGCACCUGCGGCCUCACCCGGCCCCAGGCGCUAAGGCCGCCGCGAAGCUCUCCCACCUCAAGUCCCCCGCCAAUCCCGACGCCGUACUCGCCUUCCUCUCCGGCCUCGGCCUCUCCGGCGCCGACGCCGCCGCCAUCGUCGUCAAAGACCCGUUGUUCCUCUGCGCCGGCGUGGGGAGAACUCUGUCCCCCAUCGUCGCCGAGCUCACCGGCCUCGGCCUGUUGCGUUCCGAGAUCGCGCGUCUGGUCUCGCUCGCCCGCAGCGACUUCCGCCGCAGAGCCAUAGUCUCCAACCUGCAGUACUGCCUGCAUCUCUUCGGGUCCUUCCAGAAUCUCUUCAGAGUGCUCAAGAAUGGUUCCUACCUUCUGUCGUCGGACCUCGAUAAGUUGGUCAAGCCCAAUGUUACCUUCCUGAGGGAGUGCGGGCUAGGUGAUUGUGAUAUUGCCAAGCUGUGUAUUGCUGUGCCGAGGAUGCUGACUACCAACCCAGAGCACAUCCGCGCGAUGGUGGCAUCUGCUGAAAGAUUAGGUGUGCCUCGUGGCGCUGGGAUGUUCAGGCUAGCGCUACAGGCUGUAGCGUUUCUCAAUGAGGAAAAGAUUGCUGCCAAAGUGGACUACUUGAAGAAUACGUUCAGGUGGUCUGAUGCCGAAGUGAGCAUUGCUGUGCGCAGGUGUCCGAGUGUGCUGAGGAAUUCAAAGGAAUCUCUGAACCGCAGGUCCAACUUCCUAUUAUCUGAGGUGGGAUUGGAACCUGUGUACAUUGCUCAUCGACCAGUGAUUCUCAGUCUUAGCCUAGAGAGGCGGGUCAGGCCCCAGUACUAUGUUAUCAAGUUCCUCAAGAAAAAUGGACUGCUAGGUGGUGACUUGAGCUUAGAUUCUGCGGUCAAGAUGACGACAAGGUAUUUGUGGAGAAGCUCAUAUGCCCUCACAAGGAAGCCGCGCCACACCUCGCUGAAGAUUAUGCAGUAG